UACGUAGGGUGCGAGCGUUUGUCCGGAAUUAUUGGGCGUAAAGAGCUCGUAGGCGGCUUGUCGCGUCUGCUGUGAAAACCCGAGGCUCAACCUCGGGCCUGCAGUGGGUACGGGCAAGCUAGAGUGCGGUAGGGGAGAUUGGAAUUCCUGGUGUAGCGGUGGAAUGCGCAGAUAUCAGGAGGAACACCGAUGGCGAAGGCAGAUCUCUGGGCCGUAACUGACGCUGAGGAGCGAAAGCAUGGGGAGCGAACAGG
rnacentral:rRNA from 1 species